rnacentral:lncRNA from 1 species
AAGGGGCAAAGCAGAAGGAGCAAAGGGGUGGUCCUCACUUUCCAGGUUUGGCUGGGGCCAGCUCUGGCUGUCAGCACUAAAUGUCAGCACUUCAAGGUGAUAAAUCAGAUGCUGGCAAAUAGGGAAAAGGACCAGCUCCAGCGGUCCCUUGUACCGAAGCAGACUUUGUGUCAUGUUGUGAAUGCAACAUGUUCGACAGCAUUCCUGCCGAGGAAAUCUCUUCUCUGAUGGGUAAGCAAAUAUCAUCUUUCAUUAAAAAACAUCAGAAAAAUUUCAUC